GUGCCUAAUACAUGCAAGUCGAGCGGACAGAUGGGAGCUUGCUCCCUGAUGUUAGCGGCGGACGGGUGAGUAACACGUGGGUAACCUGCCUGUAAGACUGGGAUAACUCCGGGAAACCGGGGCUAAUACCGGAUGGUUGUUUGAACCGCAUGGUUCAAACAUAAAAGGUGGCUUCGGCUACCACUUACAGAUGGACCCGCGGCGCAUUAGCUAGUUGGUGAGGUAACGGCUCACCAAGGCAACGAUGCGUAGCCGACCUGAGAGGGUGAUCGGCCACACUGGGACUGAGACACGGCCCAGACUCCUACGGGAGGCAGCAGUAGGGAAUCUUCCGCAAUGGACGAAAGUCUGACGGAGCAACGCCGCGUGAGUGAUGAAGGUUUUCGGAUCGUAAAGCUCUGUUGUUAGGGAAGAACAAGUACCGUUCGAAUAGGGCGGUACCUUGACGGUACCUAACCAGAAAGCCACGGCUAACUACGUGCCAGCAGCCGCGGUAAUACGUAGGUGGCAAGCGUUNUCC
rnacentral:rRNA from 1 species